UUUCUCUCCUAGUUCUUUCUCUGCUCAAGAAAAGCAGCUUGUCUGAUCAACUAAGCUAUGUAUGAUUCACUGCCAGCACAGACUGAAAAACAAAAUAAACUCUCAUUCACAGUCCUUUGUUGCGUAACAAUGAGGAGACGUUCUGAGAAAUGCAUCGUUAGGCAAUUGCAUCAUUGUGCAAACAAUAAAGAGUGUACUUACCCAAACCUAAAUGGCACAGCCUACUACACACCCAGGCUGUAGGCUGUGCUUCUAGACUACAAACCUGUACAGUGUGCUACUGAACACUGUAGGCAACUGUAACACAAUGGGCACGUACCGUAAGCUUGGAGCUUACGAGACUGGAAGUUGCUCUGGGUGAGGCAGUGAGUGAGUGGAACGUGAGAGCCACCUGGUGGAAGGUUUCAUUAGCAAGGAGGACGAGGGAGAGCUUGGCAGCUUGGCAGAGCUGCAGGUUGUGGAGAAGCAGCUGAGACAGCAGCCCCGAGAGAGGAGAUGUGUGCUUCCCUGGAGCACAGGGCAGGUUGACAUAUCAGCUGCGGAACAGUGUCUGGACCAGAAGCCUUUGCUCACUGUGAGAGAUAGGCCGGGCCACUUACUUGCUCACCGCGCAUGGGGGCUGAGUGGUGGCUGUUAGAGAACCCUGGAGGCCAGUGGUUGAGGCUCUGAAGGGGACAUGGCUGUCGCCGUGGGAGCAGGGAGCCAAGAAAACUGCCGAAGCAAGCAGCCUGCUUUCGGAGCCAAGCCCUGAGGGGCAGGUGUCGGGGCUUCCAUUCAAGUGUCAAGUGAGAAAACUUCAGCCACUUUGCAGAGACUCCACCAAUCCUGUGUUGAA